GACGAACGCUGGCGGCGUGCUUAACACAUGCAAGUCGAGCGGAAAGGCCCUGCGUUUGUGGGUUGCUCGAGUGGCGAACGGGUGUGUAACACGUGAGUAUCCCCCCCUUGUAUUUGGGAUAACUUCACGAAACUCGGGCUCAUACCGGGUAGGAGCUCCUGCUGCGUGGUGGGGGUUGGUAAGUUUCGGCGGUUGGGGAUGGGUUCGCGGCUUAUGCGCUUGUUUGGGGGGUAGUGGCUUACCAAGGCUUUGACGGGUAGCCGGCCUGAGAGGGUGACCGGGCACCUUGGGACUGGGGUACGGCCCAGGCGCCUACCGGAGGCAGCAGGGGGGAAUAUUGCAGAGCGGGCGGGAGGCUGAUGCAGCAGCCCCGCGUGCGGGAUGACGGCCUUCGGGUUGUAAACCGCUUUGGACUGUGACGAAGCGUGAGUGACGGUAACGGGUAAGGAAGCAACGGCUAACUACGUG
rnacentral:rRNA from 1 species